UACAGAGGGCGCGAGCGUUGUCCGGAAUCACUGGGCGUAAAGGGCGCGUAGGUGGCCACUAUAAGGCCGCGGUGAAAGUUCGGGGCUCAACCCUGAAUCUGCCGCGGCGACUGUAGGGCUUGGGCAUCGUAGAGGCAGAUGGAAUUCCUGGUGUAGCGGUGAAAUGCGCAGAUAUCAGGAGGAACACCGGUGGCGAAGGCGGUUCUCUGGGCCUGUACUGACGCUGAGGAACGAAAGCGUGGGGAGCGAACAGG
rnacentral:rRNA from 1 species